AUUGAACGCUGGCGGCAUGCUUUACACAUGCAAGUCGAACGGCAGCACGGGCUUCGGCCUGGUGGCGAGUGGCGAACGGGUGAGUAAUAUAUCGGAACGUACCCAGAAGUGGGGGAUAACGUAGCGAAAGUUACGCUAAUACCGCAUACGAUCUAUGGAUGAAAGCAGGGGACCGCAAGGCCUUGUGCUCCUGGAGCGGCCGAUAUCUGAAUAGCUAGUUGGUGAGGUAAAGGCUCACCAAGGCGACGAUCAGUAGCUGGUCUGAGAGGACGACCAGCCACACUGGAACUGAGACACGGUCCAGACUCCUACGGGAGGCAGCAGUGGGGAAUUUUGGACAAUGGGCGCAAGCCUGAUCCAGCAAUGCCGCGUGAGUGAAGAAGGCCUUCGGGUUGUAAAGCUCUUUUGUCAGGGAAGAAACGGUAGAGGCUAAUAUCCUUUGCUAAUGACGGUACCUGAAGAAUAAGCACCGGCUAACUACGUG
rnacentral:rRNA from 1 species